UUGGUGUAACCCUUGAAACGC
rnacentral:siRNA from 1 species